UCGGUCAUACCACGUUGAAACACCGAUUCCCGUACGAUCACCGAAUUUAAGCAACGCGGAGGCUAGUCAGUACCUUCAUGGGUAACCGUUGGGGAAUACCCGGUAGUGUAA